GACGAACGCUGGCGGCGUGCUUAACACAUGCAAGUCGAACGGAAAGGCCCAGCUUGCUGGGUACUCGAGUGGCGAACGGGUGAGUAACACGUGGGUGACCUGCCUCAUACUCUGGGAUAAGCCUGGGAAACUGGGUCUAAUACUGGAUAGGACCUUUGGUUGCAUGACUUUAGGUGGAAAGCUUUUGCGGUAUGAGAUGGGCCCGCGGCCUAUCAGCUUGUUGGUGAGGUAAUGGGCUUACCAAGGCGACGACGGGUAGCCGACCUGAGAGGGUGAUCGGCCACACUGGGACUGAGACACGGCCCAGACUCCUACGGGAGGCAGCAGUGGGGAAUAUUGCACAAUGGGCGCAAGCCUGAUGCAGCGACGCCGCGUGAGGGAUGACGGCCUUCGGGUUGUAAACCUCUUUCGCCAGGGACGAAGCGCAAGUGACGGUACCUGGUAAAGAAGCACCGGCCAACUACGUG
rnacentral:rRNA from 1 species